UUAUUGAGUUUGCUUGACUUUGUACCUUUAUUAUAGAUAUUUUUAGGUUUUUAUGUGGGUUUUGGUGUAUUUGAAUUCGAGAUGUUUGGGUUUUCUUAAAUUUGGGGGUUUCCAUGUAGAAGCAUCACGGAUACGUUAUAAAACGCUCCAUGAAAUUUGGAACAAAUCCACGGUUUAGAGGUUUAUAAUUUGAGAUAUCUUGUACAGUUGGAACAUAUAUUAUUAUAAUUAAGUAAUAAAAAUACAGGUAGUUUCCUUGUACACUUGGAAAUCCCAAAACUUGCAUCUUCUCCUUCCUUCCUGGCCCCUCUUAAAUAAACCUCAAAUAGUUGGAUCAUAACAUACCCAUCCAUCGCUAUCUUAGGUGAGAAUUCUAAUUUGCAUUUCUUUUCUUUGCCUUCUUCUUUUGGUCAGCUUAUAUUUUUCCAUUAAUCUAUCUUCUUUAUUUAUAAAGUUCUCUUGAUGCAAUGUUUCCGAAAUGUUUGAAAUUUGCCGAAAGUAGCAAUCAGAGUGCAAACAUGGUCUUUAAGCUUCAACACCCACCGAGUAUCGUCCUGUUUCCUUUUCGCUUUUAAUUUUGUGAUUUAAAAAAUAAGUAGCAUGAUUAAUGAAAUUACACUUAAACAGAAAAGAGGCGGGCCUAAUCCACCCGUAUCAGGAACACGUAUCCUGAUCGAGUACCUGUGAUUGUAGAGAGAGGUGAUUGUAGAGAGAGCUGAAAGAAGCGAUCUUGCUGACAUCGACAAAAACAAAUAUCUAGUACCAGCUGACUUGACUGACGGUCAGUUUGUUUAUGUGGUUCGUAAAAGGAUCAAACUUAGCGUGGAGAAGGCUAUAUUUGUUUUCGUCAAGAACAUGUUACCGCCAGCUGAUCCGCAUUACCUAUUAUUUUGCAGGUAGGACUUUCAUAUUUAUUGAUUUGUAAGAAUAAUUCGUGCAUUGUUAUUUAAUGGAACAUCUGAUUGGAAGUUCUGGUGAUUUGCGGACUUUCUUAAGAGACUGGAGCAGUUCAAGUCAGUUAUGGGUGGCCCCCCAUAAAGCUUGGCGUUAACAUGCCAGCUCGGAAAAAGAAUCCCGUUUCGAACAAUUUCAACAAGAGCGCGAAAAAGAGCGGGCUGAUCAAGCGGCAUGGCAAAAAAAACUAUGGAAGAAAAGCCGAAAAACAUUGGAAAUAAGUAAAAACUUUUGUCUUUUUAAGUAUUGGAAUGUUAAAGAACGGAUUAGUUUCGAACGCUUUUAAUUAGGAUUUUUUGUGCGUUUUGGAAUGUUUUAAAAUGUUUAGAAUGUUUGGAAUGUUGCUUUAAUAUUUUUGGAA